rnacentral:tRNA from 1 species
ACCAAAAAUAAGAUUCUUCUUUUAAAGCUUCAAGAGAAAAGAAAUUACU